rnacentral:tRNA from 1 species
UCCGCGUUAGCUCAAUGGUAGAGCAUGCGGCUGUUAACCGCAGGGUUGCAGGUUCGAGUCCUGCACGCGGAGCCA